rnacentral:rRNA from 1 species
CCUACGGGAGGCAGCAGUAGGGAAUCUUGCACAAUGGGGGAAACCCUGAUGCAGCGAUGCCGCGUGAGUGAAGAAGGCCUUUGGGUUGUAAAGCUCUUUCGUCGGGGAAGAAAAUGACUGUACCCGAAUAAGAAGGUCCGGCUAACUUCGUGCCAGCAGCCGCGGUAAUACGAAGGGACCUAGCGUAGUUCGGAAUUACUGGGCUUAAAGAGCUCGUAGGUGGUUAGAGAAGUUGGUGGUGAAAUCCCAAGGCUUAACCUUGGAACUGCCAUCAAAACUUUUUAACUAGAGUAUGAUAGAGGAAAGUGGAAUUUCUAGUGUAGAGGUGAAAUUCGUAGAUAUUAGAAAGAACACCGAUUGCGAAGGCAGCUUUCUGGAUCAUUACUGACACUGAGGAGCGAAAGCAUGGGUAGCGAAGAGGAUUAGAUACCCUCGUAGUCCAUGCUGUAAACGAUGUGUGCUAGACGUUGGAAAUUUAUUUUUCAGUGUCGCAGCAAAAGCGUUAAGCACACCGCCUGGGGAGUACGACCGCAAGGUUAAAACUCAAAUGAAUUGACGG